CGCAGCCUUGUCAAAUUCAGUGCAUUCUCCUCAGUGGGUGUCACUGGCCAAAAUGGCUGCCACAGUGAAGGUGUAGUUAAUAUGCCACAUUGUGCUCUCAACACAGCCACUGGGGUACUUAUAAACUACACACAAAU